rnacentral:sRNA from 1 species
AUGUCUUCUUCUUCUUCUUCUUUGUCG